CUCAGAAGAGGAAGCAGAAGCAGGGUUGAGAGGGAGGUCCUACGGCUCAGCCAUGAGUGAGGAAAUCUAUGAAGUACGGGACAAUUUGGUGGUCACUUGGGUAAAACCCCAGAAGUCCGAGGACAACUUUGAAGAACCAGGGACCAGCUCUGAAAGGAAGGAGGAGGAGGAGAUCUUGGCUGAGUCAGAGCAAAUGGAAACAGAGAACAGCCAGCAGGUCAUCAACCCAGUGCUAUCAGUACCGGACAUGAGUCCCAACAGACACCACAAACGCUCCAUACUGGUGCUCUGUUACAGAGGAAAGAAGAGGAGGGAAGAAGAGGACCAACCAGAGGAGGACCCUGAGUUUCAGGGUCCACCACCUAAGGGCCUAGUGGAGGAAUCCAGACCCCCAGGAACGCUGCGCUGGACAACUCCAGGAGCUGUGAGGAAGAAGACUCUAGGAGCUGUGCAGAAAAAGACUUCAAGAGCUGUGGAGAGAAAGACUUCAUUAGCUGUGAAGAAGACUCCUGGAGAUGUGAGGCAGAAGAAUCUAGGAGCUGAGCAGAAAAAGACUCAAGGAGCUGUGCAGAGAAAGACUUCAGGACCUGUGAAGAAGACCCCAGGAGCUAUGAUGAAGACUUCAAAGAGCAGUCAGCUCUGCAGUGAGAUGAAGAGUCAGCUCAGCCGUCAGCAGAGCAGCCAGCAGAGCAGUCAGCAGAGCAUUCAGCAGAGCAGCCAGCACAGCAGUCAGCAGAGCAGCCAGCACAGCAGUCAGCAGAGCAGCCAGCAGGGCAGUCAGCAGAGCAUUCAGCAGAGCAGCCAGCACAGCAGUCAGCAGAGCAGCCAGCAGAGCAGUCAGCAGGGCAGUCAGCAGAGCAUUCAGCAGAGCAGCCAGCAUAGCAGUCAGCAGAGCAGCCAGCAUAGCAGUCAGCAGAGCAGCCAGCAGAACAGCCAGCAGAGCAGCCAGCAGAGCAGCCAGCAGAACAGCCAGCAGAGCAGUCAGCAGAGCAUUCAGCAGAGCAUUCAGCAGAGCAGUCAGCUCACCCUUAAGGAGACCAAAUCUGGGCAAUAAAGCACAAUGGAGAUGCUAA
rnacentral:lncRNA from 1 species